CUGCAGUACUGCCCAAGGGGGAAGAAAGGGAGCAUUUUGUUAAUUAACUGAAAAUUAGCUAGCUUUUUAGUACCUUAAAUAAAGUGUUAAGAUAAUUUUUAUAAAGUUUUAUUAUUAUUAUUAUUAUUUUUGAGCUUUAUAUCCAAGAAGACCAUACUAUUGUACCAGACUUAGGUUUUGCAUUGAAUGCAUGUAUCAUUUUUGGGAAAAGAGAAUCACACUUUCAUUGCUUUUACUUAGUUCAAUGGAUUUGUUUUUGUGGUCACAUCAGUUUGCGUUUCUUGUGGAAACAACCAAACAAUUUAGAUUCUGCUGGCAUGUUGGUACUUAGUGCUGAACUUUCUGUUGACAGUAUUAGUUCUUUACAUGCUUUGCUUGGUCUUGCAGGUGCCCAGCUUGCAGAAAUUACAAGCUCCAUUACGAAAAGGUAGCAAGACUUUUCAAUGGACCUGAAGCAGUUCAUCCAGGGAUUAUAUUGAUGACAAGGGUAGACUGUGCAUUGAAGACAAAUAAUGAACUUUGCAAAAGGUUCUCCGUUGAUCGUUAUCCCAUGCUUUUGUGGGGCCUUCCUUCUAAAUUUGUUGCUGGUGGUUGGGAGC